GACGAACGCUGGCGGCGUGCCUAAUACAUGCAAGUUGAGCGCUGAAGGUUGGUACUUGUACCAACUGGAUGAGCAGCGAACGGGUGAGUAACGCGUGGGGAAUCUGCCUUUGAGCGGGGGACAACAUUUGGAAACGAAUGCUAAUACCGCAUAAAAACUUUAAACACAAGUUUUAAGUUUGAAAGGUGCAAUUGCAUCACUCAAAGAUGAUCCCGCGUUGUAUUAGCUAGUUGGUGAGGUAAAGGCUCACCAAGGCGAUGAUACAUAGCCGACCUGAGAGGGUGAUCGGCCACAUUGGGACUGAGACACGGCCCAAACUCCUACGGGAGGCAGCAGUAGGGAAUCUUCGGCAAUAGACGAAAGUCUGACCGAGCAACGCCGCGUGAGUGAAGAAGGUUUUCGGAUCGUAAAACUCUGUUGGUAGAGAAGAACGUUGGUGAGAGUGGAAAGCUCAUCAAGUGACGGUAACUACACAGAAAGGGACGGCUAACUACGUG
rnacentral:rRNA from 1 species